CGGGGAGUUGCACGUAAACUUUGAUCCGAAGAUUUCCGAAUGAGGAAACUCACUUAGAGUAAUGUCUAAGUAUCAUUAAGUAAAUACAUAGCUUAAUGAGGGAAACUCAGGGAACUGAAACAUCUAAGUACCUGAAGGAAGAGAAAGAAAUUCGAUUCCGUAAGUAGCGGCGAGCGAACGCGGAUUAGCCCAAACCAAUAAAGUU
rnacentral:rRNA from 1 species